rnacentral:misc_RNA from 1 species
GGAAGGAUCAUUAACGUGUUCGUUCGGCCGCUCGGGUCGGCCCUGCACCGGCGGAGACGCCGUGCUGCGGGCUCUCGGGCGUGCCUUCCAAACCAAACCCCUGUGAACCUUUGGGACGGCAGAGCCCUCGCGGCGAAGUCGUCCCCUUUACAAACUCUGUAUCUCUAGAAUGACCGCGGACUUUGUCUGCCUAAACACAUAACAACUUUCAACAACGGAUCUCUUGGCUCUCGCAUCGAUGAAGAACGCAGCGAAAUGCGAUAAGUAAUGUGAAUUGCAGAAUUCAGUGAAUCAUCGAAUCUUUGAACGCACCUUGCGCCCUUUGGUAUUCCGAUGGGCAUGCCUGUUCGAGUGUCUUGAAUUCAUCGCCGCCUCCGGUUUUGCGACCGGCUGGUGGCGGACUUGGGGGUCUGCCGCGGCGACGCGGCUCCCCUUGAAAGCAUCGGUGGGGUCUCCGAGCACCCACGGGCGUUGUAUUGUCCUCGUCCGACCGGGCCUCGCGUCCCCCGCCUCGACUGCCGUAUGAGCGGCGGUCAAAGCACUUUGAAAUCUGACCUCGAAUCAGGUAGGACUACCCGCUGAACUUAAGCAUAUCAAUAAGCGGAGGAAAAGAAACUAACAAGGAUUCCCCUAGUAACUGCGAGUGAAGCGGGAAGAGCUCAAAUUUGAAAUCUGGCGUCUUCGGCGUCCGAGUUGUAAUCUGGAGAAGCGUUUUCCGUGCCGGACCGUGUACAAGUCCAUUGGAACAUGGCGUCAUAGAGGGUGAGAAUCCCGUCUUUGACACGGACUCCCGGUGCUCUGCGAUGCGCUCUCGAAGAGUCGAGUUGUUUGGGAAUGCAGCUCAAAAUGGGUGGUAAAUUCCAUCUAAAGCUAAAUAUUGGCGAGAGACCGAUAGCGAACAAGUACCGUGAGGGAAAGAUGAAAAGCACUUUGGAAAGAGAGUAAAACAGUACGUGAAAUUGUUGAAAGGGAAACGCUUGGAGUCAGUCGCGUCUUCUGGAACUCAGCCUUGCUUCUGCGAGGUGCACUUUCCAGUUUGACGGGUCAGCAUCGGCUUCGGGGGACAGACAAAGGCGCAGGGAAGGUGGCAGCUCCGGCUGUGUUAUAGCCCUGCGUUGUACGUGUCUCCUGGGACCGAGGAAUCCGGCGCUCGUCGCCUGGGAUGCUGGCGUAAUGGCUUUAAACGACCCGUCUUGAAACACGGACCAAGGAGUGCUACAUGCUCGCGAGUGUUUGGGUGGAAAACCCGGACGCGCAAUGAAAGUGAAAGUCGAUACCCUUUGCGGGGGCACCGACGCCCGAGCCUGAAGUUUACGGACGGCCUUGCGGUAGAGCGAGUAUGUUGCGACCCGAAAGAUGGUGAACUAUUCCUGAGGAGGGCGAAGCCAGAGGAAACUCUGGUGGAGGCUCGUAGCGGUUCUGACGUGCAAAUCGAUCGCAGGACUUGGGUAUAGGGGCGAAAGACUAAUCGAACCAUCUAGUAGCUGGUUCCUGC